rnacentral:lncRNA from 10 species
CAGCUUUCUAAAACGGUUCAAUAAUUCCCUUGUGUCCCCUUGCGUAUGGGCUGGAUCUACUGUCUUGCUUCUAACAAAUAGAAUAUGGCUAAAGUGAUGGGAAGCCACUUCCAUUACUAGGUUACAAAAGGUUGUUAUGUCUACCUUACUAACACUCUCUUUUGCUGGCAUUCUCUCUUGCCCUCUCAUAUCCUGGCUCUGAUAGAGUAAGCUACCAUAUUGUAAGACGUUCUAUGGAGAAGCCCACAUGGCAUAUAACUGAGGGUGGCCUCUCAGUCCAAGAGCCUGUGAGGAACUGAGUCCUGCCAACCUUCCCCAUCAAGCCUUGAGAUGACGUCAGCCCAGUGAGAGACCCAGAACCAGAGGACUCAUCUAAGCCAUGCCUGAUUUCCUGGCCCACUGAAACUAUGAGGAAGGUGAAACGCCUAAUAACUGUCCUCGGUCACACUGCUAAUAAGUAGAAGAACCUGAGUAAGAACCCAAGUGUUUCUGACUCCAGAGCCCAACCCCUAACCUGUUGAAGAAACUCUCUUUGGGUCAAGCUAUAUAAUAUGGUAUCAGUCAAUGUUCAGUUGCAAAAACCAGAAUCUAUUCUCUACUUGAAGCUCUCUGGCUAGUUGAAUAGGGAGAGAGGACUGAAUAAACAAAUUCUAGAUGACUUUCCAGGAAAAAUUCCUGAAGCAAUCCUGCAGAACUGAACACCAUCCAACCUACCGCCUCUUCUCAGGUCAGGAAUCUGUCAUUCUAGAAUCACAUCCCCACUCCAGUGAACAAAAACCUGACCGUAUGUGGCCACCUCCAGAGCCACAGCACACCUGCUACAACUCCCACCAGCAAAAUGGAUGCCCCGUCCUCUGGACAGUGAAGCCUCUGUGAAGGUCACGUAGACAACCUCCAUGCCAGAAAUGCUUCUGACAAGAGCAGUUUCCACAUGCUUCUGCCUUCCAAAUCCUGCACAAAUGCAUCUACUAUGAUAUUCCUGAACCAAAUUCAGGCCCCUAUUUGAGACGUGUGAGAACUGUGUAUUAGCUUUCCAGUGUCUGCUGUACAGGAAGGGCAUGAGAGAAGAAGGGCAGAUUGGAAGUUGAGUUUUAAUCCACUACAGCUAUUACAAGUUCCAAGGAUUUGGAUGUCCUGACGAGUCCUAGGGGACUCCUGAUUAGGGCUGCAAUAGUUUGUGUGUCUGGGGAAAGAGUCCAGAGCUUUCCUGAUAUUCUCAAAAGGGGUUCAUGACCUAAAACUUCAUCAGUUCUGCUUUAAAAUAAUAAUACAAUACCGUUUUGAGAAUAAGAUUGUUAUUGUGGGAGAAGGUAAAACAUAAUGGUUAAAGACGUGAGCUCCCUAGUAUGGCAUCUGAGUUCUAAUUCCAGUUCUCUUACUUAGAUGUCUGACCUCCAACAUGUUACUUAAUCUUUUUGUGUCUCAGUUUCCCCUUCUCUAAAGUGUGGAGAAUAGUAUCAACCUCAUAACGGUGUUCAAAGACUAAGUGAAAGAAUAUGUGUGAAGUAGUAUUUCCGUGCUUAAAAGAGCAGACCUUAAGGGCUUCCAUGGAGUUCUGCUCAACCAUUUAUGCAAAUAUAAUGAAUUUUACAAAGAAAAGCCCAGCCCUGCUGGCAGGUACUCCCACAGACCAACUCUGGACAGCAGAAACAAUGUUCAGCUUUGGCAAGAAUAUAAAUCAGACCCUUUAAUUCUGACAGUAGGUCCACUACUCCAGUGUCUAAAAUGUAUGUGCCAAUCAAUUGCAAGAAAAACCUACAUUUCAGCUAUUUAUCAGUAACUUCAGUGUUAAGUUGAUUGAUACGUGACUCCAAUCAAAAGACUGGUUGACAUCAGACUGUAACACAUUAAGAAGAAUGAUUAUGAUCAGUAUCAGUGAGCACUUUGAGAAAUGAGUACUCUAAGACACUGCUGGCAUCUUAGAAUUAGUACAUCUUUUCUGAGAUUGAUAUGGGAAUAUCUAACAAAACCUUUAAAAUGUGAAUAUUCAUUGACUCACCAAUUCCACUUCUAAGAAUUUAUUCCAAAUAAUAUUUGACAAUUGCAUCAAUUAUAUAUACAAGGAUGUUCACUUAGAAAUUUGUUUAUAAUGCACAUUUUUAAAAAACUCAGUGUUCACAACAUAAAAUUGGUUAAAACAAUUACGACCUUACCUUACAAUGGAAUUCUCCCCAUUUUUUUUUUUUUUUUUUUUUUUUUUUUUUUGAGAUGGAGUCUCACUCUGUUGCCCAGGCUGGAGUGCAGUGGUGUGAUCUCGGCUCACUGCAAGCUCUGCCUCCUCCUGGGUUCACACCAUUCUCCUGCCUCAGCCUCCUAAGUAGCUGGCACUACAGGCGCCCGCCACCACACCCAGCUAAUUUUUGUAUUUUUAGUAGAGACAGGGUUUCACCAUGUUUGCCAGGAUGGUCUCGAUCUCUUGACCUCGUGAUCCGCCCACCUCGGCCUCCCAAAGUGCUAGGAUUACAGGCAUAAGCCACCAUGCCUGGUCGGAAUUCUACACAACUAUUAAAGGGAAAAUGAAGAUGUAUUUAAAUAUUGGGAUGCAAAAAUGUCUGUGAUGUAAAUUUCAAAAUAAAAGGGUGCA